GGAAUCUUGCGCAAUGGGCGAAAGCCUGACGCAGCAACGCCGCGUGCGGGAAGAAGGCCUUCGGGUUGUAAACCGCUUUCAGCAGGAACGAAAAUGACGGUACCUGCAGAAGAAGGUGCGGCCAACUAUGUGCCAGCAGCCGCGGUGAUACAUAGGCACCAAGCGUUGUCCGGAUUUAUUGGGCGUAAAGAGCUCGUAGGCGGUUCAGUCAGUCGGGUGUGAAAACUCUGGGCUUAACCCAGAGCCUGCACCCGAUACUGCUGUGACUAGAGUUCGGUAGGGGAGCGGGGAAUUCCUGGUGUAGCGGUGAAAUGCGCUGAUAUCAGGAGGAACACCGAUGGCGAAGGCACCGCUCUGGGCCGAAACUGACGCUGAGGAGCGAAAGCAUGGGUAGCAAACAGGAUUAGAUACCCUGGUAGUCCAUGCCGUAAACGUUGGGCACUAGGUGUGGGUUCCAAUCAACGGAAUCCGCGCCGUCGCUAACGCAUUAAGUGCCCCGCCUGGGGAGUACGGUCGCAAGACUAAAACUCAAAGGAAUUGACGG
rnacentral:rRNA from 1 species